rnacentral:lncRNA from 1 species
UGGUGGUGUGAUCUCAGCUCACUGCAACCUCUGCCUCCCAGGUUCAAGCGAUUCUCCUGCCUCAGCCUCCUAAAUAACAGAGAGGCGACGGGAUCCACAAGGUUGAAGAGGAGCACUCUGGCUGCUGUGGGGCAUUCGCCGAAGGGGUAGGGGUAGGGAGACCAGGGAGAAGGUGACUGCGUAUGUCUGAUGAGAGGACAGCAGUGGGACCAGAACUACAGCAGUGGAGAUGCUGAGAAGCUUCCCAGCAGCAAGCACCAGCCUUCCACGGCAACACGGUAUCUUCGUGCAGCUUUCCUGUUUACACUACUGCUUUUUUAUUAAAUGGUGUUCAGUUAAAAAAAAAAAAAAAAAA